rnacentral:tRNA from 4 species
CGUAGACGCUACGGACUUGAAAAUCCGUUGGCUUUAUUGACCGUGAGGGUUCAAGUCCCUCUACCCCCA